CGCGAACGCACCUUCGGGUGUUAUUAGAGUGGCGGACGGGUGAGUAACACGUGGGAACAUGCCUUUCGGUACGGAACAACGCUUGGAAACGAGUGCUAAUACCGUAUACGCCCUUCGGGGGAAAGAUUUAUCGCCGAAAGAUUGGCCCGCGCUAGAUUAGCUAGUUGGUAAGGUAAUGGCUUACCAAGGCGACGAUCUAUAGCUGGUUUGAGAGGAUGAUCAGCCACACUGGGACUGAGACACGGCCCAGACUCCUACGGGAGGCAGCAGUGGGGAAUAUUGGACAAUGGGGGCAACCCUGAUCCAGCGAUGCCGCGUGAGUGAUGAAGGCCUUAGGGUUGUAAAACUCUUUCAGAUGGGAUGAUAAUGACAGUACCAUCAGAAGAAGCUCCGGCUAACUCCGUGCCAGCAGCCGCGGUAAUACGGAGGGAGCUAGCGUUGUUCGGAAUUACUGGGCGUAAAGCGCGCGUAGGCGGCUUUGCAAGUAGGGGGUGAAAUCCCGGGGCUUAACCCCGGAACUGCCCUCUAAACUGCAGAGCUAGAAUCCUGGAGAGGUGAGUGGAAUUCCUAGUGUAGGGGUGAAAUUCGUAGAUAUUAGGAAGAACACCAGUGGCGAAGG
rnacentral:rRNA from 1 species